rnacentral:rRNA from 1 species
AUUGAACGCUGGCGGCAUGCUUUACACAUGCAAGUCGAACGGCAGCGCGGGGGCAACCCUGGCGGCGAGUGGCGAACGGGUGAGUAAUGUAUCGGAACGUAUCCUGUAAUGGGGGAUAACCAGUCGAAAGAUUGGGUAAUACCGCAUACGCACGAGAGUGGAAAGUAGGGGAUCGCAAGACCUUACGUUAUAGGAGCGGCCGAUAUCUGAUUAGCUAGUUGGUGGGGUAAAGGCCUACCAGGGCGACGAUCAGUAGCUGGUCUGAGAGGAUGAUCAGCCACACUGGGACUGAGACACGGCCCAGACUCCUACGGGAGGCAGCAGUGGGGAAUUUUGGACAAUGGGCGAAAGCCUGAUCCAGCCAUGCCGCGUGCGGGAAGAAGGCCU